rnacentral:tRNA from 3 species
GCCCGGGUGGUGGAAUUGGUAGACACGUUGGACUUAAAAUCCAAUGAUCAUUAUGAUCGUGCGGGUUCAAGUCCCGCCUCGGGUACCA